rnacentral:lncRNA from 1 species
UUUUAGUGUUUUCUAGUUUAGUUUUGCAUUCUUUGAGUCUAGUUUAGUGUUUUAACCUUUGUUUUAUGUUUUUGAGUCAGUUUUAAGUGUUUUAGCAAUCCCUCAUAAUCCUCGGCCUAGAACGAUCCCUACUUACAUACUUUGCUACAAUUGAUAAAAAGAUGGUUUAAUUUUUGUGCUUAUAUAUUUCGCAUCACAAAACAGCGGAGACAUUUUCACUUACCUAAACCACUUCUUUAUUCGAAAUCCUCCUCCUUAUUGUACAAAGCUCUUUUAAAAACUUAGUAUACCUUGUGUUUAUACCAUAUUUAGGGCCUCGUAUUUAGACCUCGUCUAAAUACUCGGGGGACUUAAAUGUAAUUAUGUAAUCAAGGAAGGGGCAAAUAUGUAAUAAGUGAGAAGUCCUUAUUCUAUAAAAGGACCCCUAACCCUCACAAUUAGAGGAGGCCAAUUCCUAGGCCCUCUCACCCCCUCUCAAAGCUCUCACUCUCAGAGCUCUCUCUCCCUCUGACAAAUACAUAUUCAGUAUGGACGUAGCCUAAACCUUGGGAUGAACCACGAUACAUCUUGUUUUAUAUACAUUUCAUGCAGAUUCACGGUCAGAUUUAUGUUGUUCCAAGACUUCCGGUUUUGUGCAUCAACAUUUGGCGCCGUCUGUGG